AACCAGACUCCUACGGGAGGCAGCAGUGGGGAAUAUUGCACAAUGGGGGGAACCCUGAUGCAGCGACGCCGCGUGAGUGAAGAAGUAUCUCGGUACGUAAAGCUCUAUCAGCAGGGAAGAAAAUGACGGUACCUGCAAAGGAAGCACCGGCUAACUCCGUGCCAGCAGCCGCGGUAAUACGGAGGGUGCGAGCGUUAAUCGGAAUUACUGGGCGUAAAGCGCUCGUAGGCGGUAUGUCAAGUCAAGGGUGAAAUCCCCGCGCUCAACGUGGGAACUGCCUUCGAAACUGGCAAACUGGAGUGUGUGAGAGGAUAGUGGAAUUCCAGGUGUAGGAGUGAAAUCCGUAGAUAUCGGGAGGAACAUCAGUGGCGAAGGCGACUAUCUGGCACAUAACUGACGCUGAGGAGCGAAGGCGUGGGUAGCAAACAGGAUUAGAUACCCGUGUA
rnacentral:rRNA from 1 species